GGCCCCCUGGCUUAGUCGGUAGAUAGAGCACAAGACUCUCAAUCCCAGAGCUGUGGGUUCAAGCAAAAGAUUCCUGCCUUGCAGGGGCUU